AAUGAACGUUGGCGGCAUGGAUUAGGCAUGCAAGUCGGGGGAAUCCCAGCAAUGGGGGAACCGGCGUAAGGGGCAGUAAGGCAUGGGUACCUACCUUGGGGUUCGGGAUAGCCAUCAGAGAUGGUGGGUAAUACCGGAUGACGUCGUGAGACCAAAGAUUUAUCGCCCUUAGAGGGGCCCAUGUGAUAUUAGCUAGUUGGUGGGGUAACGGCCCACCAAGGCGAAGAUGUCUAGCGGGUGUGAGAGCACGACCCGCGCCACUCGCACUGAGACACUGGCGAGACUCCUACGGGUGGCUGCAGUCGGGGAGCUUCGGCAAUGAGCGCAAGCUUGACCGAGCGAGGCCGCGUGAGCGAUGAAGGCCUUCGGGUUGUAAAGCUCUUUAGUGGGGGAGAAAAGCCGCAAGGCGUGAUCUAUCCCAAAAAUAAGCACGGGCUAAGUUCGUGCCAGCCGCCGCAGUAA
rnacentral:rRNA from 1 species